UACGUAGGGGGCUAGCGUUGUCCGGAAUUAUUGGGCGUAAAGAGCGUGUAGGCGGUUCGAUAAGUCUGCUGUAAAAGUCGGGGGCUCAACCCUCGAAGGCCGGUGGAUACUGUCGAGCUAGAGUACGGAAGAGGCGAGUGGAAUUCCUGGUGUAGCGGUGAAAUGCGCAGAUAUCAGGAGGAACACCAAUUGCGAAGGCAGCUCGCUGGGACGUAACUGACGCUGAGACGCGAAAGCGUGGGGAGCAAACGGG
rnacentral:rRNA from 1 species